AACGAACGCUGGCGGCAGGCUUAACACAUGCAAGUCGAACGCCCCGCAAGGGGAGUGGCCGACGGGUGAGUAACGCGUGGGAAUCUACCUAGUUCUCCGGAACAACAGAGGGACACUUAUGCUAAUCCCGUAUACGCCCUAUUGUGGAAAGAUUUAUCGGAAUUAGAUGAGCCCGCGUAAGAUUAGCUAGUUGGUGAGGUAAUGGCUCCCCAAGGCGACGAUCUUUAGCUGGUCUGAGAGGAUGAUCACCCACACUGGGACCGAGACACGGCCCAGACUCCUACGGGAGGCAGCAGUGGGGAAUAUUGGACAAUGGGCGCAAGCCUGAUCCAGCCAUGCCGCGUGAGUGAUGAAGGCCUUAGGGUUGUAAAGCUCUUUCAGUAGGGAAGAUAAUGACGGUACCUACAGAAGAAGCCCCGGCUAACUUCGUGCCAGCCGCCGCAGUAACAC
rnacentral:rRNA from 1 species